rnacentral:rRNA from 1 species
GACGAACGCUGGCGGCGUGCUUAACACAUGCAAGUCGAGCGAUGAAGUUCCUUCGGGAACGGAUUAGCGGCGGACGGGUGAGUAACACGUGGGUAACCUGCCUCAUAGAGGGGAAUAGCCUUCCGAAAGGAAGAUUAAUACCGCAUAAGAUUGUAGUUUCGCAUGAAAUAGCAAUUAAAGGAGUAAUCCGCUAUGAGAUGGACCCGCGUCGCAUUAGCUAGUUGGUGAGGUAACGGCUCACCAAGGCGACGAUGCGUAGCCGACCUGAGAGGGUGAUCGGCCACAUUGGGACUGAGACACGGCCCAGACUCCUACGGGAGGCAGCGGUGGGGAAUAUUGCACAAUGGGGGAAACCCUGAUGCAGCAACGCCGCGUGAGUGAUGACGGUCUUCGGAUUGUAAAGCUCUGUCUUUAGGGACGAUAAUGACGGUACCUAAGGAGGAAGCCACGGCUAACUACGUGCCAGCCGCCGCGGUAAAAC